rnacentral:rRNA from 1 species
GAUGAACGCUGGCGGCGUGCCUAAUACAUGCAAGUCGAGCGAACAGACGCGGAGCUUGCUCCUCUGACGUUAGCGGCGGACGGGUGAGUCACACGUGGAUAACCUCCCUAUAAGACUGGGAUAACUUCGGGAAACCGGAGCUAAUACCGUAUAAUCUAUUGAACCGCAUGGUUCAAUAGUGAAAUACGGUUUUGCUGUCACUUCUAGAUGGAUCCGCGCCGCAUUAGCUAGUUGGUAAGGUAACGGCUUUCCAAGGCAACCAUGCGUAGCCGACCUGAGAGGGUGGUAGGCCACACUGGAACUGAGACACGGUCCAGACUCCUACGGGAGGCAGCAGUAGGGAAUCUUCCGCAAUGGGCGAAAGCAUGACGGAGCAACGCCGCGUGAGUGAUGAAGGUCUUCGGAUCGUAAAACUCUGUUAUUAGGGAAGAACAAAUGUGUAAGUAACUAUGCACGUCUUGACGGUACCUAAUCAGAAAGCCACGGCUAACUACGUG